GUUGUUGGUUUUUGGGGGGUUUUGUUUUGUUGGAGUUUUCUCUUUUUAAGGACUCUGGGACAAAACACGCUUAUUGCCUACGUAUAAGGGCUAUACUCCUUACUUCAGAAUGGAAGGUACCAUGUAUAAGCUAGCCUAUACUUUACAAAUGGAUGUCUCUGCAACACAGUCCACCAUAUAUGCAUAAUUUGAAUGUGUGACUGUGCAGAAAACAUGGGAGACUAGAAAGAGAGGAACAAAUAGGAGAAGCAGCAAGUAGUGUUAAAGUAUAGAGGUUACCUUCAUGACAAAAUGAUCCUCUGGGUACAUGCUUAAGUUAACUUGCUCAGGAACAUUCCCAGGCAGUGACACUAAAUGGCACAAAAUAGUCUAUGUAAGUUUCAGAAGAUGGUUUCAGCUUCCCUAAUUGGGUGCCUACCUCCAAUUUGUCUGCUCUGAGUGUUUCUUUGGAUGUUCAAACUGCCAAAUCAUUUGUGGCACUUGUGCUGGUUUUGGCUGGGAUAGUUAAUUUUCUCCAUAGUAGCUGGUAAAGGGAUAUGGUUUGGAUUUGUACUGAAAACACCAUUGAUAAUACAGAGACAUUUUCAUUACCUCAGAGCAGUGCUUACACAGAGUCAAGGCCUUUUCUACUUCUCACAUCACACCAACAGCAAGUAGGCUGCGGGUGCACAAGAAGCCGGGAGGGGACACAGAUGGGACAGCAGACCAAAUGGAUAUUCCAUUCCAUAUGGCAUCACGCUCAGCAUAUAAAGCUGGGAAAUGAGGAGGAGGAGGAGGAGGGGUACAUACAGAGUUACGAUGUUUGUCUUCCAGAAUAACCAUGAGACCUGAGUAAUCAAAGAGCCCUGCCUUCCUGGAGAUGGCUGAACAUCUGCCUGGCUAUAGGAAGUGGUGAAUGAAUGUCUUGUUUUGUUUUGCUUGCAUGCAUGGCUUUUGCUUUACCUAUUAAACUGUCUUUCUUUAUCUCAACCAGCAAAUUUUCUCACUCUUCGAUUCUCUUCCUCAUCCCACCAAGGGGCUGUGUGGUCCUUAGUUGCCAAUUGAGGUUAAACCACAAAAGUCCUUUUUGUUGAAGUGUUCAAGAUAAUGAGUGGAAUGUGCUAGAUCAAAUUUAUAGGUUCUAUUGCUGUUCAGCUAUUAACAGACAGCUUCCGUACUUACCAUGGUGCUUGCUUCCCUUACUGUGUAUCACAGUCUAUGCUCAUUAGUGGCUCCUUUUUGCUUCUGCUGCUGGCUGUACUGCUUAUCAUCUUACUCUGCUGUGCCUGGGAACAGUUUGAUAACAGCAAUGGCCAUGCGACUAGGCUGGCAGAUGGCCAGGGCAUCGCUGCUGUUUCUGUGCAGCACUCCAGUGUGAACUCCAGUCAAAGGGACUGUGACCUGUGGAGGAGUCCACAAAAGAGCAGGACACCUCAAAGCAUCUGUGCUCUGGAUAAGUCCACACCAGAGCAGGUACAUCUCAAAGUGUCUGUGGCCAUGGUCAUGUCUGUGCCACCUGUACCUUCUCCACAAUGAAGACGGCACACCUUGAAUCAUCUGUGGCUGCAGGUAAGUCCAUGCUGCAGCAGGUACAAUCUGAAGCAUUAGUGGAUGCAUAUGAGAUCAUGCCUCAUGAGAGCACCUCAAAGCGUGUGGCCAUGGUUAAGACCAGGACAGAGCAAGUACAGCUCUGGAGGAACUGCAAGCAUGAGUAUGGCCAUGCUGAAGCAGGUAUAUCUCUGAAGGCAUUGUGGCCCAUGCAUAAGGCCACGCUGUAACGUGCACCUCAAAGCAACUGUGGCUGUGGCGGCAGGUAAAGCCCUGGAGAGACUGUGGCUCAUGGAUAAAAUUCCACUUGGAGCAGAUAGACCCCUAAAGGACUGCAGUGUGUGGCUUACAUGGGAAAUAUCCUCUUUUCACCCCUCCUCCGAAGCAAAUUUACAAGGUUUAAACAUAUCAGGUCUUCACAAAGUAGGAUAUUUUCUACUUUUAUUUCUUAUGCUCUUCAACACAGCUAAUAAGACUAUGGAUUGAGGAUCAGUAGAUUUAUGAAAUGUUUUAUUAGAUAAUUUACUUUUACAAUAAUGAUUACCAUUGUAUAUUACUAUUACAAUAACUGAUACAAUACAGUGAACCUCACUGUAUUAACAUGUAACUUGUUGUGUUAACCAAGUUCUCCCUAUAUUUCUGCUCCCUUCCUCAGUACUGAAAGACAAAUUGCAUUAUAAUGGUCAAGAAACAUCUCAGACUAUCCAGCAAAUCAAAACAGAUUAUUUCAAUUUCAGAUACUUUCAAUAAUGAAAGUAAAAUGUGAGAGUCGCAAAAGGAUAUUAGUGAUAUUUACAGAUUUAGUGAAAAAGAAGAUGACUCAAUCUUCUCUUAACCCUUAGCCCAGUGACUGGAAUAUUUACACACCAGAAGAAACCUUUUACAUUACGUUGCCUUCCAAAGAAUUCACCCACUUGACAUGCAUACGCUCUAGCUUGUGGGCUGAUCUUUUACAUGUUGUCCUAAGGAAGCUUUUCAAAUAUAUAUUCAGUAUAAAAUGUGUGUACUGGAAGCAUCAAGCUUCACCUCCAUAGUUUUCAAGGGGGCCAUGUCCUUUGAAAAUCUAGCCCUUCAAAAUAAAAAACUGGUUUUUACAUCCAUUUUUUUUUCAGGAAAAAAGCACUCAGCAAAUUCAAGACAGAUAAUUAUUAAAAAUAGUGUAUUUACCGAACAAAUGCAUUUGCCAAAGAUUCACCAUGUUCUUCUGCCCACAGCAACUUCCUUUAUGAAAAAUAAUAUGCAAUCCAAUUUGGUGGUUUGUGGAAUAUGACAGCCCAGAACCCACCUCUUACUGAAGCCAACUGCAAGGGUGGUUAGGAAUCUAAGCUAUGCAAGUAGAAUUAUUUUUCUGGGAGAGAAAUGCAAAAGCAGCGAGAUGGAUGUUACUGUCCUGAAGAAGUACAGGUAAAAAAUGGACUGUGAGUUAGACAUACAAAAAACCCCAAAAGAAGCCCAAGUGAUGCUCCACCACAGAAGUCCUUGAGAAAAUAAAAAAAAACAUUAGGAACCAUUUCCAAACAAUUUAUAUCUAAGAACAAAAGUUCUGAAUCCUAGUCCUCUUACAUUCAGGCAAGCAUUUUAGCAUGUCUACAUUUUAUAAAUGGACAGGAUCAUUUAAAAAAAAUAGCUGAUCAAACUCUUCUUCUAAAGAAACAUAACCAGUCAGGUUUCAAAACUGGGUACAAUGCUUAUGUCAGAAAUAAGGAAAAGGAAAAAAAGAAGAGACGUCUGUAUCCUUUCAAUCAUAUCAAUCAUAUUUGUUAUUAAAUACUAUCACAUUACGUACUGGCAAACUAUGCUAUUAAAACUGUGAUUUAGUGACAAAGAAUCAUGAGUAGUUUGUAGAAGAAGAGAGGAAUAAUUCCAUCUCCUCUCCACUUUGAAGAAUCGACAAUUAUCUGAAACACAGAGAUGGAACAUAUGCCUCCCAGACAGAAAAAAGUGAGCAUCUUUCCAGAAAGGGCAGAAUGGAAGGAGAAAAGAGAGACUUCAAGGAUGAACAGACUGGGAAGAUCAAAAAGGGAAUAGGACUAAGAUAGGAGAUAAAGCAUUCAGCUGGUAACAGACCUGAAAUUCACAGAUCACAGAGAUGGAAAACCCCUUAUACAGAUCAGACUUCCAGAGUUGAAAGCAAAUAGAACUACGUAGUUGCUGGAAAUAAUUUUCUUAGAAUCAUAGAAUGGUAGGGUUGGAAAGGACUUUAAGAUCACCUAGCUCCAACCCCCUGCCAUGGGCAGGGACGCCUCAUGCUAGAUCAUAUUGCUGAAGGCUCUGUCUGGCUGUUUCCAGUUCACCAUAUCUCAGCCAGGGCCAAUAACUUCCUAAAAUGAACUGCCUUGAUCACUUGCCAUUUUGUAGCCAUUCUAUAAGGCUACUUAACUGUAUUUUAGUGUUCAGAUAUUCCAUUCAUAGUUAAUGCCCAUUCAGCUGAAGGGGUUACAAGCAACACCUUUGGCAACAUUUACAUUGCAAACUAAUUAGAAUAGAGUACAAAAGAUACGCUUCACCAAAACCAAACUUGAACCACUUAUGAAAGGAGACAAAGAAAAGACAAAAAAGUAAACAACUAAAAAUAGGGUAUACUUGUGUCAUACUAAUCAUUAAUAACUAAUAAGCAACUGACCUCAGGGUCCCCGCAGGUCUGCAGUCUUUCCCAUUAAGUAUUUCCUGAAUGUAUGUCUAAUACUCUAAAUAUUCCAUUUGACAGUAUUUCUAUGCAGAAUACGUAUCCUUUUUCUAUAAUAGAGAGUAGCAAAAUACCAGCAACAAGAGAUUGGAUUAGUAUUUCAGUAAUAAAAGUGAUACCCUCUAGUAAUGAACAACGAGAAUCUGGACAGAACCUUAUUGUAAGGCGGACAAAAAAAGACAAUACUCAAGAUUUUUAAAAAUGGACUUUGUUCAGUUACUGGAAAGCUCGUAUCAAACAAGACUGCUAUGGCAACUUGCAGAGCUGGAGGAGAGAGUGCUGCUGUCACAACCUAAUGUAAAGCACAAUCCUAGUGGCAUUGUGGGGAUAGUACCCCACAGCCUUCCUGCUACAGUGCAGCUGUGCAGCUGCAGCAUGGGACAAUACCUGAAGAUCUUGAAAGCCAUUUCCAGUCCUAGGUUAAUACUUUAUAUUUCAGAUGUGCCAGAGAUCUUGCAAUGCUUGUAUGAAUAUUAAAUAAUUAAAAGUAACUAUUCAUUUUCUA